AGGGCCGGUUGUAUAAAACUUUACUACAACCGAAGGUUGAACAACCGACGGUUCAAUUCGACCUUCGGUUGGAAAACGCAGGCGUUGUAUAAAACAAAAUAUAUCGGCGUUUGGGUAACCUGGAGUUGAAAAAAAAAAUUGUAAAGUUGGUCAUAGUGCAGGUUGGAAUUCAACCAAUCACGUAAGAGAUGUGUUUGACAGGUAUAAAUAUAAACAGCUGAUUUAAAUUGUGGAUUUCUAACCAAAAAGUACACUUGUGAAUUGCGAUUUUUUUAUCAGUUUGUCUUAUUGUUGUUCAUAUAAUAUAAAUUUUGUUGACUCGAGAUUGGUGUUGAAGUUACCCUUUGUUACAAGAUGAGUGUACCACGUGCAAAGCGUGUUAUCUUUAGUGAUAAUGACAUGAAUAUGUUAGUGGACUUGGUGUAUAAGUAUAAACAUAUAAUUGAAUGUAAGAAAACAGAUGCACUGACAUGGAAAGACAAGGAUGCAACAUGGAUAAAAAUAUCAGAUGCUUUUAAUGCAAGCGUCAUGGAGAAGAAGACACCUGAGCAACUACGUACCAAGUACGACAAUUUGAAAAAGGAUGCAAGGCGAUACUUUGCAAAGCAGAGGCAAGAUAUUUAUAGAACAGAUCAAUAAAAUUGCCGAGAUGAUGAUGACAAAAUUGGAGCUUAACGAUGGAACAGAAGCCAACUUGCACAGAUUCAAACAUCGUCGACUGCAACUUGCAAGUUACCUAGUAACUUUUCAACCGCAACAAUGUUGAACGUUAUGUCUUUCUGCUUUUGGUCGUUCGCUAUGGUUAUCUUCGUGACAAAUCCCGAAGAAGCCGAUAUGGUUAUGAAUCCAGAUACCGCCCUACUGAUGUGUAUAACACCAAGCCACAUCCUUCGGGUAACUCUGAACCUGAGCACCGUAAGAAAGUACUUAAGACUGUGCCGAUAUGUAUGGUGAAACGAUUACCCAUAUUAUUUAUUUAUAUGAGCUUUAUAAGCUUGCCCCAAAUCAAUGUGAUAUUAGAAUAAGAGUAGCUGUUAGUAUGAAGCAAAUACAUGUAAUAAAUGUAUAUUUAUUAACGACUCA